rnacentral:rRNA from 1 species
UACAUGGGGUGCAAACGUUGCUCGGAAUUAUUGGGCGUAAAGAGCUCGUAGGCGGCUUGUCGCGUCGGCUGUGAAAACCUGGGGGCUCAACCCCGGGCCUGCAGCCGAUACGGGCAAGCUAGAAUUCGGUAGGGGAGACUGGAAUUCCUGGUGUAGCGGUGAAAUGCGCAGAUAUCAGGAGGAACACCCGGUGGCGAAGGCGGGGUCUCUGGGGCAAUAAACUGACGCUGAGGGAGCGAAAAGCGUGGGGGGAGC